UACGUAGGGUGCAAGCGUUGUCCGGAAUUAUUGGGCGUAAAGAGCUCGUAGGCGGUCUGUCGCGUCUGCUGUGAAAGCCCGGGGCUUAACCCCCGGGUCUGCAUUCGAUACGGGCAGGCUAGAGUGUGGUAGGGGGAGAUCGGAAUUCCUGGUGUAGCGGUGAAAUGCGCAGAUAUCAGGAGGAACACCGGUGGCGAAGGCGGAUCUCUGGGCCAUUACUGACGUGAGGAGCGAAAGCGUGGGGAGCGAACAGG
rnacentral:rRNA from 1 species